rfam:Prunus persica cultivar Lovell chromosome G3, whole genome shotgun sequence.
CUUAAUUCGAUUAGGUUUAGGGUCUGAAAAACUCAUAAAUUUUGGUGUUGUCUAUCAGCUUCAUCUCUUGUUACUGGUGGAGAAUGAAGUUAAACAACAACACUACAUCU